rnacentral:lncRNA from 1 species
UAUUGAAAAACGAGGACAAAAGAAGAAGAAAAUGUAAAAAUGGGGAUGAUAGUUGUCCUACCUCAUGGGACUAUUACGAGGAUUUAAUGGGUCGUUACAUGUAAAGCUCUCAGAACAGUCUUGCACGUGGUGAGGGCUAUGGAAAUGUCUGCUGUGAUCUUGAGCGUGAUGGUGACCAUCAGUGGGAACAAUGCUAACCAAGAAUCAGUGGCACAGAACAGAAAUUCACUCAGUAAUCACCAAGUACCAGCCAUGUACUCAGGAUACAGAGAUGAAUCCAACUCAGUGCUUGCUGCCUCCGCAGAGGCUCAGUCUGGCUUUGGCAUCUGGUCAUGUGAAACGGAUCGUCUCCAUGUCUGGUUUCUCCCAAACUCAGGUGCUGGAGACUUUGUUUCCCACAGCAUUGAC